rnacentral:lncRNA from 1 species
GUUCUCUGCUGAGUCUUGCCUGGUCGCCUUCCUCGCGCACUUUGAUUAUUGAUCCAGCUGAACCGGACUGGAGAGCUGAGGCUGCGCUUUCCAGGGGUCGGGGGAAGGAGGGAGGAGAGUAGGCUGGGGGUAUGGUGUUGGGGAAAGGAGGGUGAUAAACUUUAGGAGAAGGUGCGGGGCGUUCCUCCAUACUCCGCGGUCGCCC